rnacentral:rRNA from 1 species
UACGGGGGGUGCGAGCGUUGUCCGGAAUCAUUGGGCGUAAAGGGCGCGUAGGUGGCGUCGUAAGUCUGUGGUGAAAGCCCGGGGCUCAACUCCGGGUCUGCCGCGGAUACUGCGAGGCUUGAGUGCUGUAGAGGGGGGUAGAAUGCCGGGUGUAGCGGUGGAAUGCGUAGAGAUCCGGCAGAAGACCGGUGGCGAAGGCGGCCCCCUGGGCAGUAACUGACGCUGAGGCGCGACAGCGUGGGGAGCAAACAGG